GUUCGUGGUGUAGUGGUAGAGCACGCAUCUCCGGAUAGGUGAAGCGCGGGUUCGAUUCCCGUCUGAGGCCG